UACGUAGGCAGCAAGCGUUGUUCGGAGUUACUGGGCGUAAAGGGUGUGUAGGCGGUUGCUUAAGUUUGGUGUGAAAUCUCCCGGCUCAACUGGGAGGGUGCGCCGAAUACUGAGUGACUCGAGUGCGGGAGAGGAAAGUGGAAUUCCAGGUGUAGCGGUGAAAUGCGUAGAUAUCAGGAAGAACACCCGUGGCGAAGGCGGCUCUCUGGUACGUGACUGACGCUGAGACGCGAAAGCGUGGGAGCAAACAGG
rnacentral:rRNA from 1 species